CAGUAGCCACGGGAAUACGGAGGGUGCAAGCGUUAUUGGAAUUACUGGGCGUAAAGCGCACGCAGGCGGUUUGUUAAGUCAGAUGUGAAAUCCCCGAGCUUAACUUGGGAACUGCAUUUGAAACUGGCAAGCUAGAGUCUUGUAGAGGGGGGUAGAAUUCCAGGUGUAGCGGUGAAAUGCGUAGAGAUCUGGAGGAAUACCGGUGGCGAAGGCGGCCCCCAGGACAAAGACUGACGCUCAGGUGCGAAAGCGUGGGGAGCAAACAGGAUUAGAUACCCCUGUAGUCCCUGUCUCUUAUACA
rnacentral:rRNA from 1 species